rnacentral:lncRNA from 1 species
GGGUUGUUGUGGGGAAAGGUGGGCCUGGCUUUGGCCCCUUCCAGAGUGAGGGCCCCCAGUGACCAAUCUCCUCCCCGUUCUGUGGCCCUCGCCCUCACCCAGAUCCCUGGCCUGGGAGCCGGGGGCUGCGGGCCGCGAGGAGGGCGAAGGCCGCGCCGCUGCGGCGUGAGGACGGCUUCGCACGCGGGAGCAGGCCCGGCGCCACCUGAGCUCGGCUGCCUGCGCGGAGGCGCCCUUCGCCUACUGAGAGGAGAAUGAGGGGCGUUGUCCAGCUUAGUGGCGUCCACGGUGUGCACCAUCAGCAGGCCAGCCGACUUCUGCUGGGACGUGUCCAUGAUGUCGAUCAGCAUGUUCUUCUUGUCAUCGCCUUUCCGGUCUCGGCCCAGGUGUGACUUUACAGACUGUUCAACAGCUGAAGACACAGACACGUCAACAGGAGCACUUGGAGAAGGGAAGCGAGACACGCACACACACCGACAGACGCAUGGCACAGGGAUUUCAUGUUGGGAGCAUGCAGGUUUUCAAAG